GUAAAGCUAAGCCCUGGGUUUCCGUGUCCAAUGUUUGACCGUCCGUCUUAUUUAAAAAAAAUUAAAAAGACAAGUCACGCAUAAAGUAUUAAUCAUGUUUUAUUAUCUAACAACAAUGAAAAGACUAAUUAUAAAAAAAUUUCAUAUAAGACGGACAGUCAAACGUUGGACACGUAAAUCUAGGGUUUGUCUUUUU
rfam:Oryza sativa Japonica Group DNA, chromosome 1, cultivar: Nipponbare, complete sequence.